UCCCUCUCAGGGUCACACCUGGAGAGUUUCCAGUACUCUACCAGUCUUGACUACAGGAGGGAGAGUGAAGCAGAGGCCUGUCCAUUCCAUUCCUAGCUUGGCCAGUGGCUAACGAGUGGCAGCCAUCUGCAACAGGU